rnacentral:rRNA from 1 species
UACAGAGGUGGCAAGCGUUGUUCGGAAUUACUGGGCGUAAAGGGCGCGUAGGCGGCCUCCUAAGUCGGACGUGAAAGCCCCAGGCUUAACCUGGGAACUGCGUCUGAUACUGGGAGGCUUGGAUUCGGGAGAGGGAUGUGGAAUUCCAGGUGUAGCGGUGAAAUGCGUAGAUAUCUGGAGGAACACCGGUGGCGAAGGCGGCAUCCUGGACCAACACUGACGCUGAGUGAGCGAAAGCCAGGGGAGCAAACGGG